UACGUAGGGUGCUAGCGUUGUCCGGAUUUAUUGGGCGUAAAGAGCUCGUAGGUGGUCUGUUGCGUCCGCUGUGAAAACCCAGGGCUUAACCCUGGGCUGGCAGUGGAUACGGGCAGACUAGAGGUAGGUAGGGGAGAAUGGAAUUCCCGGUGUAGCGGUGAAAUGCGCAGAUAUCGGGAGGAACACCGGUGGCGAAGGCGGUUCUCUGGGCCUUACCUGACACUGAGGAGCGAAAGCGUGGGGAGCGAACAGG
rnacentral:rRNA from 1 species